rnacentral:rRNA from 1 species
AUUGAACGCUGGCGGCACGCUUUACACAUGCAAGUCGAACGGUAACAGGUCUUCGGAUGCUGACGAGUGGCGAACGGGUGAGUAAUGCAUCGGAACGUGCCCAGUCGUGGGGGAUAACGCAGCGAAAGCUGCGCUAAUACCGCAUACGAUCUAUGGAUGAAAGCGGGGGACCGUAAGGCCUCGCGCGAUUGGAGCGGCCGAUGUCAGAUUAGGUAGUUGGUGGGGUAACGGCCCACCAAGCCUGCGAUCGGUAGCUGGUCUGAGAGGACGACCAGCCACACUGGAACUGAGACACGGUCCAGACUCCUACGGGAGGCAGCAGUGGGGAAUUUUGGACAAUGGGCGCAAGCCUGAUCCAGCAAUGCCGCGUGCAGGAUGAAGGCCUUCGGGUUGUAAACUGCUUUUGUACGGAACGAAACGGCUCCUUCUAAUACAAGGGGCUAAUGACGGUACCGUAAGAAUAAGCACCGGCUAACUACGUGCCAGCCGCCGCAGUAACAC